CAGAAAGUGCAAUCAAAGGGAAAUGCACAAACUGCAAAUGACACACAAGAACUCUAUACUCAAGAAAGUGUGGUGAAUUCGAAUUCUCUUCCAAAUGCCAUUGAUAUGCAUGUCGAUAGUUUCACUGUACAAAAUCUUGGCAAUGAUUCUUCUUCACAGAUUAUACCAUCAGUAACUCAUCCGACAAUGACUGAUAGAGCACAUUAGCUUUAUGGGCAAUAAAACUUGUUGUGAUUCAUGCAAGAGAAAAGCAUGUGGCUUGGAUUUCUUCAUCGAUAUUUCAUUGGUGAUAUUAUUGUUUGUUUGUUGAAUGCUUUAAAUCAGACAUGUGUUGACUGUAUGCAGUGAGCUGAUUUUACAUUGUUUUUGU